UGGCGGACGGGUGAGUAACACGUGGGUAACCUGCCCAUUAGAGGGGGAUAACAUUCGGAAACGGAUGCUAAUACCGCAUAGUUUCAGGAAUCGCAUGAUUCUUGAAGGAAAGGUGGCUUCGGCUACCACUAAUGGAUGGACCCGCGGCGUAUUAGCUAGUUGGUGAGGUAAUGGCUCACCAAGGCAAUGAUACGUAGCCGACCUGAGAGGGUGAUCGGCCACACUGGGACUGAGACACGGCCCAGACUCCUACGGGAGGCAGCAGUAGGGAAUCUUCCGCAAUGGACGAAAGUCUGACGGAGCAACGCCGCGUGAGUGAAGAAGGUUUUCGGAUCGUAAAACUCUGUUGUUAAAGAAGAACAAGGAUGAGAGUAACUGCUCAUCCCCUGACGGUAUUUAACCAGAAAGCCACGGCUAACUACNUGCCAGCAGCCGCGGUAAACGUAGGUGGCAAGCGUUGUCCGGAUUUAUUGGGCGUAAGCGAGCGCAGGCGGUUCUUUAAGUCUGAUGUGAAAGCCCCCGGCUCAACCGGGGAGGGUCAUUGGAAACUGGAGAACUUGAGUGCAGAAGAGGAGAGUGGAAUUCCACGUGUAGCGGUGAAAUGCGUAGAUAUGUGGAGGAACACC
rnacentral:rRNA from 1 species